UUUAUUUUUCGUGUUUAGGUGAUUAUCUCGCAUUUUCGUGUGGCGUUAUUUUUGUUGUGCAACCGCACAUAUUUUAUAUGUUUCCGGGGUAGUGCAAUUAGCUUUAGCAUUAGAGCAAGUUAGUUCGCGCGAUAUUUUGCCAUGUUGCCCUCUUGUCUAUUUCGUAGGAUUUAUUCCGUGCUUCGUUUGAUUAAGUUUUCAACUAGAGAGUUGCCCUUUGAUGUUUAGUCUAGCCCCUGGUAAUUUUGGUUGCAAUAGAAAUGCAUGUUUAGGUG
rnacentral:lncRNA from 1 species